UUUGUAAGUAAAAGGGGAGAGAAAAAUCAAUUUCUCUUUCUUUCUUUCAUACUUCAGAAAAACAGAAGCUAAUCACGUAAACACACCCUCAUCUCCUUCAUCUUGCUCCAAGAACCACCACCAUCCAAGCCACCGCCGGCCACCAUCACCACCCAUAACACCUUGCGCGUGAAGGAGGAGCUGCGAGAGGAAAGGGAACCGCGAAGAGGGGGAGAAGAAGGACGUGGACAGCAAGCCUUUUGAUCUUGAAUCUUCAUCUUUUCUUUCUUUUCAGGCCAUUAACCCAAGAUGGUCGUGAAGAAAAUGGCGACGACUCAUUCUUGGGAGUUGAUGCUACGUGACGAGCCACUACAGAUGACGACUACACUUCUGAUGACGACUACACUUCUGAUGAAGAGGAAGAAGAUAAAGAGGAAGGGGCCAAGGAUAUGGUUGGGUUGUGAGACAUCCAUUUUUCUUUUGGGUUGAGAGUACCGAGUUUUGGAAGUAUUGAACCAUUACUUUAUUUUAGUUGAGAUAGUUUAACUUGAUGUAAUUUACUUUGAAGUUUUCUUCCGGAUAUUUAUUUCAUACUCUUUUCAAUGAUUAAUAAAGUUUGAGGUUUAGGUUGA